rnacentral:rRNA from 1 species
UACGGAGGGGGCAAGCGUUAUUCGGAAUCAUUGGGCGUAAAGGGCGUGUAGGCGGCUUCGUGUGUCUCAUGUGAAAGCCCUCGGCUCAACCGGGGAACUGCAUGGGAAACUGCGGAGCUUGAGUCCGGGAGAGGAGAGUGGAAUUCCCAGUGUAGCGGUGAAAUGCGUAGAUAUUGGGAGGAACACCAGUGGCGAAGGCGGCUCUCUGGACCGGUACUGACGCUGAAACGCGAAAGCCAGGGGAGCAAACGGGAUUAGAAACCC